rnacentral:lncRNA from 1 species
GACAACAGGUGUUAAGAGGAAGAGAGGAGCAAGCAUAUAUAUAUGGCACUCCAGGAAGAUGAAGGUGGGAUUAUAGAAUGUAUGCAGCUGUAGUCUGGGAGGUCUGAUGUUAGGGAAAAAGAAGGAGGAAAGCAAGAUUAAAAAUCAUUCCUGGAAAUGCAAGAGAAAAUGUGCUGGAGUGGUGCUGUUAGUACCAGGGACACUGGACAAGAAAGAUAAGCAAGCCACUGCUGUCUGAUUCCUACAUAGCAGGUUAAAGUGUUGGAUUCAUAAUUCUCACUUCAGGAAGACUGAAAACCAGACUUUAUUCUGCUAGAUCCCAAGAUAUCAAGGAAGAGGAAAAGGGAAGAGCCCCAGGCACUAUUAAACCACAGCUACAAUCACUGCCAUUUGAAACUUCCCACCAAACAACUUUACUAUUCUGAUUUAAUUUCAACUCCCAGGGAGAGUUAGUAUUAAGAGGAAGUACCUAUCAUCCAUGAUAAUCCACCAGCUCUGGGGGUUUAGAAGGGAAAGGAUGGAGGUCUCAGUGCUUGAGGCUAGGCUGACAGCUGAGCAGGGCUCCAGCUCACCUUAAUCUCACUCCUGUGGAUGCCUGCACUAGGGGCCUGAGCAUUCUCCCAGAUCUCUGCAUAGGAGGCUGCCCUUAGGCAUUAUUAAGGUGUGAAAGCAGCAAGAAAGAGCAGAAUUAAACUGCUUUUCUCUAAUGUAUCCUUUUACAGCCCAGUGUAUUUUGCCCUAGGCUAGCCUUUUCUUCUCCUUUCACCCUCCACAUGCCAGUCCGAGACAGCCUUUCUUCUCACAGGAAUUAUUGUAUUAUUUCUUAAAUUCUUUUUUUCUUCUCCAUGGCUUUUCUAGAGGAAACCUAACAGUGUGGGUUUAUCAAUCAUUUUGACAAGACUCUGAAUUCCACUGAACAGAUUUUUGAAUAAAAAUUAUGAACAAAGAAAGUGUAGUAAAUCUGCUAAUAGAAAAACUGA